GCCGGGCAUGGUGGUGUGUGCCUAUAGUCCCAGCUACUUGGGGGGCUGAGGUGGGAGGAUCGCUUGAACCCAGGAGGUUGAGGCUGCAGUGAGCUGACAUUGUGCCACUUCACUCCAGCCUGGGUGACAAAGUGAGAUCCUGUCUCAA
rnacentral:SRP_RNA from 1 species